rnacentral:rRNA from 1 species
AGAGUUUGAUCCUGGCUCAGGAUGAACGCUGGCGGCGUGCCUAACACAUGCAAGUCGAGCGAUUCUCUUCGGAGAAGAGCGGCGGACGGGUGAGUAACGCGUGGGUAACCUGCCCUGUACACACGGAUAACAUACCGAAAGGUAUGCUAAUACGAGAUAAUAUGCUUUUAUCGCAUGGUAGAAGUAUCAAAGCUCCGGCGGUACAGGAUGGACCCGCGUCUGAUUAGCUAGUUGGUAAGGUAACGGCUUACCAAGGCGACGAUCAGUAGCCGACCUGAGAGGGUGAUCGGCCACAUUGGAACUGAGACACGGUCCAAACUCCUACGGGAGGCAGCAGUGGGGAAUAUUGCACAAUGGGCGAAAGCCUGAUGCAGCAACGCCGCGUGAGCGAUGAAGGCCUUCGGGUCGUAAAGCUCUGUCCUCAAGGAAGAUAAUGACGGUACUUGAGGAGGAAGCCCCGGCUAACUACGUGCCAGCAGCCGCGGUAAUACGUAGGGGGCUAGCGUUAUCCGGAAUUACUGGGCGUAAAGGGUGCGUAGGUGGUUUCUUAAGUCAGAGGUGAAAGGCUACGGCUCAACCGUAGUAAGCCUUUGAAACUGGGAAACUUGAGUGCAGGAGAGGAGAGUGGAAUUCCUAGUGUAGCGGUGAAAUGCGUAGAUAUUAGGAGGAACACCAGUUGCGAAGGCGGCUCUCUGGACUGUAACUGACACUGAGGCACGAAAGCGUGGGGAGCAAACAGGAUUAGAUACCCUGGUAGUCCACGCCGUAAACGAUGAGUACUAGCUGUCGGAGGUUACCCCCUUCGGUGGCGCAGCU